AAUUUUGGACAAUGGGGGAAACCCUGAUCCAGCCAUCCCGCGUGUAUGAUGAAGGCCUUCGGGUUGUAAAGUACUUUUGGCUGAUAUGAAAAGGUAUCUCCUAAUAUGAGAUACUGCUGACGGUAUCUGCAGAAUAAGAACCGUCUACAUACUUGCAAGCAGCCGCGGUAAUACGUAGGGUGCAAGCGUGAAUCGGAAUUACGGGUCGUAAAGCGUGUGUAGGCGGUUCGGAAAGAAAGAUGUGAAAUCCCAGGGCUCAACCUUGGAACUGCAUUUUUAACUGCCGAGCUAGAGUAUGUCAGAGGGGGGUAGAAUUCCACGUGUAGCAGUGAAAUGCGUAGAUAUGUGGAGGAAUACCGAUGACGAAGGCAGCCCCCUGGGAUAAUACUGACGCUCAGACACGAAAGCGUGGGGAGCAAACAGG
rnacentral:rRNA from 1 species